rnacentral:rRNA from 1 species
AUUAUUGGGCUUAAAGCGUUCGUAGCUCGUUUGAUAAGUCUCUGGUGAAAUCCUACGGCUUAACCGUAGGGCUUGCUGGAGAAACUAUUAGACUUGAGGAUGGGAGAGGUUAGGGGUACUUCUGGGGUAAGGGUGAAAUCUUAUAAUCCUAGAAGGACCACAAGUGGCGAAGGCGCCCUGACAUGAACAUGCCUGACAGUGAGGAACGAAAGCCAAGGGCGCGAAACGGAUUAGAUACCCGUGUAGUCCUGGCCGUAAAC